rnacentral:rRNA from 1 species
GAUGAACGCUAGCUACAGGCUUAACACAUGCAAGUCGAGGGGCAGCACUAGGUAGCAAUACUGAGGUGGCGACCGGCGCACGGGUGCGUAACGCGUAUCCAACCUUCCCGAUACUCUUGGAUAGCCUUCCGAAAGGGAGAUUAAUACAAGAUGGUGUUUCACUUUCGCAUGUUACUGAAACUAAAGAUUUAUCGGUAUCGGAUGGGGAUGCGUGACAUUAGAUAGUAGGCGGGGUAACGGCCCACUAGUCUACGAUGUCUAGGGGUUCUGAGAGGAACGGUCCCCCACACUGGAACUGAGACACGGUCCAGACUCCUACGGGAGGCAGCAGUGAGGAAUAUUGGCAAUGGUCGGAAGACUGAACCAGCCAAGUAGCGUGAAGGAUGAAGGUUCUAUGGAUUGUAAACUUCUUUUAUACGGGAAUAAAACCUCCACGUGUGGAGCUUGUAUGUACCGUAUGAAUAAGCAUCGGNUAACUCCGUGCCAGCAGCCGCGGU